GACGCUGCUCCCCGUGUCGUUCAGGAGCCCAAACAAAGUUAGCGUGCUACAAUAUCGGACAGUAGAAUCCAACCAGAAAGUUCGGAAAAUUGUCUGAAUCCUCCUUUGGCCACGACUGCCGACACAAGCAAGAAAACAAAGUAAAUACCGGAGACUCUGGAGGAAUAACGGGCGCUUAAAACGGAGGUAGACCGGACAAGAGCUAAAAAGCCGGGUCAACAUAAACGAUGGGGGACGCUUGGGGAUC